UGCUAAAACCACAGUCCCCUUGCCCAGCUCCCUCUCCUUCCUGCAUGAGGAAGUCUUCCAUUUCCCAGGGACAUCGGAGCAGGAGUGCGUGUCAGACCGUCACGUAACACGUUUGAAACCCGACGUCGGAACGCCCCAGUGAAACCACCCCUCCGGGGUCUGUGGUGAAGCACCAGGCUAAGCACACUGUAGAUUUCUGCAACCAUCUUUUCACUGAUACGUCUUUUCCCAGCAAGACCGUGAGGAUCUUUCUAGACCACCAGUUGGAAUAUAUCAUUCUUCAGCUAAAAUCUUUAUCAAGAGCCCUCGCAGCCUUUAGAAGAAGUUUUAAACUUGGGUCAGGCCUCAUGAUGGGGAUCUCUCCUUCUAGAGCCUUCUCUUCACCUUUGGGACCCAGAUUGAAUAUACAGCUUGCAUUUUUGUAUUAUUGUACACAGACUGCCCCCUGUCUCACCUCUCCUCUCUCUGGAUCUAUUGAGCCUUCUCCCAUCUGUGACGUCACCUUUCCUGCACAAGAGGCCCUUGUGCUACUUUGUUCUUCCCCAGCACAGCACGGCACAGUAAAGCAAUAGAAGCUUUACUCACAGGCAUGCUCCAGAGAACCAUAAAAUCCCUUGUCAAUC
rnacentral:lncRNA from 1 species